AACGUAGGAGGCAAGCGUUAUCCGGAGUUACUGGGCGUAAAGCGCAUGUAGGCGGUUGGGCAAGUGGCGAGUGAAAGCUCCCGGCUAAACUGGGAGAGGACACGUCAGACUGCCCGGCUAGAGGAUGGUAGAGGGGCGCAGAAUUCCGGGUGUAGCGGUGAAAUGCGUAGAUAUCUGGAGGAACACCGGUGGCGAAGGCGGCGUUCUGGACUGCAACUGACACUGAGGAACGAAAGCCAGGGGAGCAAACGGG
rnacentral:rRNA from 1 species